rnacentral:rRNA from 1 species
AUUGAACGCUGGCGGCAGGCCUAACACAUGCAAGUCGAGCGGAUGAAGGGAGCUUGCUCCUGGAUUCAGCGGCGGACGGGUGAGUAAUGCCUAGGAAUCUGCCUGGUAGUGGGGGAUAACGUCCGGAAACGGGCGCUAAUACCGCAUACGUCCUGAGGGAGAAAGUGGGGGAUCUUCGGACCUCACGCUAUCAGAUGAGCCUAGGUCGGAUUAGCUAGUUGGUGGGGUAGAGGCCUACCAAGGCGACGAUCCGUAACUGGUCUGAGAGGAUGAUCAGUCACACUGGAACUGAGACACGGUCCAGACUCCUACGGGAGGCAGCAGUGGGGAAUAUUGGACAAUGGGCGAAAGCCUGAUCCAGCCAUGCCGCGUGUGUGAAGAAGGUCUUCGGAUUGUAAGGCACUUUAAGUUGGGAGGAAGGGCAGUAAGUUAAUACCUUGCUGUUUUGACGUUACCAACAGAAUAAGCACCGGCUAACUUCGUG